rnacentral:snRNA from 1 species
AUAAAUUAUUUUUUGUAAAAAAAAUAUAAAAAAAUCUGUUCUUAUCAGUUUGAUAUCUGAUACGUAUCAGGGGACUACAUAUUAAAUGUAUUUUUCGAACAGGGAGUCGGAAAUGGGGCUUGCUCCGUCCGCUCCACGCAUCGACCCGGUAUUGCAGUACCUCCGGGAACGGUGCAACACUU